rnacentral:misc_RNA from 1 species
GAUGAAGAACGUAGCGAAAUGCGAUAAGUAAUGUGAAUUGCAGAAUUCAGUGAAUCAUCGAAUCUUUGAACGCACCUUGCGCCCUUUGGCUAUUCUGAAGGGCAUGCCUGUUUGAGUAUCAUGAACACCUCAACUCUCACGGUUCGCCGUGAUGAGCUUGGACUUUGGGGGUAUUGCCGACCCACCGCCGGCUCCUCUCAAAUGAAUCAGCUUGCCAGUGUCUGGUGGCAUCACAGGUGUGAUAACUAUCUACGCUUGUGGUUUUCCGCCAGGUAACCUCCAGCGAUGGAGGUUCGCUGGAGCUCACAAAUGUCUCUCCUCAGCGAAGACAGCUCUUGAACGUUUGAUCUCAAAUCAGGUAGGACUACCCGCUGAACUUAAGCAUAUCAAUAAGCGGAGGA